rnacentral:rRNA from 1 species
GAUGAACGCUGGCGGCGUGCCUAAUACAUGCAAGUCGAGCGAACGGACGAGAAGCUUGCUUCUCUGAUGUUAGCGGCGGACGGGUGAGUAACACGUGGAUAACCUACCUAUAAGACUGGGAUAACUUCGGGAAACCGGAGCUAAUACCGGAUGAUAUUUUGAACCGCAUGGUUCAAAAGUGAAAGACGGUCUUGCCGUCACUUAUAGAUGGAUCCGCGCUGCAGUAGCUAGUUGGUAAGGUAACGGCUUACCAAGGCAACGAUGCAUAGCCGACCUGAGAGGAUGAGCAGCCACACAAGAGCAGAAGCACGGACCAGACGAAGACGGGAGGCAGCAGUGGGGAAUAGGGCAGAAGGGGCGAAAGACGGAGCCACCCAGGCCGCGGGGGUGAAGAAGGUAGUAGGAUGCUAAAGCACUUUUAAAAGGGAAGAAAAAAAGGGAGCGAAUAACUUCGUGGCAUGAAGGGACCAAAAGAAAGGCCGCCGCCCAAACUCGGG